CUCCGCUAGUUGAGAAGAGAGAUUUAGUAACUCCUGAUGUAAGAAUAAAACGAGUUGAAACCGAGUGGAGACGGCGAUAUUCCCAGAGAGAGAAACCUGAUAAACUACAGAGUAGCUGUUGAAAGAGAAGUUACCUGCGAGCGUUUCUCUCCAAAUUAAUGAAUUAUCCUGAGUUAGCUACUCCAAUCUGGUUAUCUGGUUAGCAUUACGAUUUUGUUCCAAAAGAGUUGAAUAGUGUGUUAUUUUACCUUUGAAAAACAUAGUACAGCAAAAAACAGUAGUUUAUGUUUGUGUAAUGUGAAAUGAGUGUAGUUGAUGGUAAUGAGCUUUUUAACCACCCACCUGUGUCGGCUUAAUUGCGGACUAGAAGCUAAGCUAAAUGUAACGUGUAAAUUAGCUGUUGUAUUAGCUCUCGUGAUCAUAAGGACGUUCUAGAAUGCCAGUCAUAACUGAGGACAGAUGCACACUGAACUCCUGGCAUUUUACUGUUUGCAGAGAAGCAGGCAACAUGCUGUGAGAGCACCACAUUUCAACCAGAAACUGGACUGAACUCAGUAUGACAAGAUCAUAUGUGUCUCUACACACACAAAAAGGAACAUUUACAAGAGGAGAGGACUGGAGACAGUGUGAAGUUUGAACACUCAUUUUAAAUUCAGAUACAGUAUACUUAUGAUAUGGUCAUAUUUCAUCUGAUGACAUAUUGCUCAUCUGUUCAUCUGGUUUUUCAACACUUUGAACAUUGAUCUCCAUCGUCUGAUUGCUCUUUCUUUGUUGUUUUUUUCUUUUUCUUUUUCAGAAAAAUGAGAGGAGAAAAAUGAGAGGAGGUAGGAGUCCGAGAGGCAACAUGAACUUUGAACUCUGUUUUUAUACGUUUUCUACCUAUUUUUACGUUCAGAAUUCAUGUGUUCAGAAUUGUUUUGUAACAUUUUUAAUCAGUUUCUUCUUGUCUUCCAUUUGUUUUCUACAGAGAGCAGAGGACUGGAGACAGUGUGAAGUUUGAACACUCAUUUUAAAUUCAGAUACAGUAUACUUAUGAUAUGGUCAUAUUUCAUCUGAUGACAUAUUGCUCAUCUGUUCAUCUGGUUUUUCAUACUUUGAACACUGAUUUAUAUCAUCUGACUACUCUUAUUUUGUUGUUUUUUUCUUUUCUUUUUCAGAAAAAUGAGAGGAGGUAGGAAUCUGAGAGGCAACAUGAACUUUGAACUCUGUUUUUAUACUUUUUCUACGUUCUUUUACGUUCAGAAUGCAUGUGUUCAGAAAUAUUUCAACUGCUUAUUUUGUAACAUUUUUAAGUUUGAACACUGAUCUAUAUCGUCUGACUACUGUUUAUUUGUUGUUUUUCCUUUUUUUUCAGAAAAAUGAGAGGAGAAAAAUGAGAGGAGGUAGGAGUCCGAGAGGCAACAUGAACUUUGAACUCUGUUUUUAUACUUUUUCUACGUUCUUUUACGUUCAGAAUGCAUGUGUUCAGAAAUAUUUCAACUGCUUAUUUUGUAACAUUUUUAAGUUUGAACACUGAUCUAUAUCGUCUGACUACUGUUUAUUUGUUGUUUUUCCUUUUUUUUCAGAAAAAUGAGAGGAG